rnacentral:tRNA from 1 species
CGGAAGUAGUUCAGCGGUAGAACACCACCUUGCCAAGGUGGGGGUCGCGGGUUCGAACCCCGUCUUCCG